CGUGCCGGCUCCAAAAAGGAGGGGACUCAAACCCGCUCCUGUCUCUUAUUUGAUGUUAUUUUCAAUCAAAUUGGGACUUGAACCCAAUUACGGAUGGGACUCCAACCCUCCUUUUAUUUAUUUUAUAUUGUUGGGACUUCAACCCUAAGUUAAAAGCGCUUAUCAACUCACGUUUCUGUCGGUUCAUCUUGUCCAGUCGAAUCUCUUCAAUCCGCUGCUGACAAACGAAGUCGGACCUAGGCGCUGGCCCAGCGAAGAAGUUACUUCCCGGGACUUUGCUUCCAAGUCUGGCCGUGCACUGUUCAGCGCGUCGUUCUUCGCCUGUCAACAAACGGAUAUGUUGAGAUCGGGUCACGGCACCAAAAUGAUAGAUGCAGUGACCUGUGCAGUUCCAGUGACCUGGUGGCCUAUGAAGACUGCCAGACACAUAUUAAUGUGUAAAAAGAGUUUGUGGGGAUCAGAUGUCUGUUUAAUUUAAAUAAAAACUUGUUUUCAUUCUUAGAAA